UGGGGAAUAUUGCACAAUGGAGGGAACUCUGAUGCAGCGACGCCGCGUGAGUGAUGAAGGAAUUCGUUUCGUAAAACUCUGUUCUAUGGGAAGAAAAGGACUGUACCAUAGGAGAAAGCUCCGGCUAAAUACGUGCCAGCAGCCGCGGUAAUACGUAUGGAGCGAGCGUUGUCCGGAAUUAUUGGGCGUAAAGGGUGCGCAGGCGGCUUUACAAGUUGGAUGUGAAAUAUUGCGGCUCAACCACAAACGUGCAUCCAAAACUGCAAAGCUUGAGUUAAGGAGAGGUAAGUGGAAUUCCUGGUGUAGCGGUGGAAUGCGUAGAUAUCAGGAGGAAUACCGGUGGCGAAGGCGACUUACUGGACUUAAACUGACGCUCAGGCACGAAAGCGUGGGGAGCAAACAGG
rnacentral:rRNA from 1 species